rnacentral:rRNA from 1 species
UACGUAGGGGGCAAGCGUUGUCCGGAAUUCUUGGGCGUAAAGAGCUCGUAGGCGGUUUGUCGCGUCGACUGUGAAAACCCGAGGCUUAACCUCGGGCCUGCAGUCGAUACGGGCAGACUAGAGUUCGGUAGGGGAGACUGGAAUUCCUGGUGUAGCGGUGAAAUGCGCAGAUAUCAGGAGGAACACCGGUGGCGAAGGCGGUUCUCUGGGCAUGAUCUGACGCUGAGGAGCGAAAGUGUGGGGAGCGAACAGG